rnacentral:sRNA from 1 species
GCCGGGCAUGAUGGCGCAUGCCUGUAAUCCCAGUGGCUGGGGAGGCUGAGACGGGAGGAUUGCGAGUUCAAAGUCAGCUUCAGCAACUUAGUGAGGCGCUAAGCAACUCAGAGAAACCCUGACUCUA